UACGGGGGGAGCAAGCGUUGUUCGGAUUUACUGGGCGUAAAGGGCGCGUAGGCGGUCGUGACAAGUCACUUGUGAAAUCUCCAGGCUCAACCUGGAGGGGUCAUUCGAUACUGCCGUGACUAGAGUUCGGUAGGGGAGUGUGGAAUUCCUGGUGGAGCGGUGAAAUGCGCAGAUAUCAGAAGGAACACCCGUAGCGAAGGCGGCACUCUGGGCCGAUACUGACACUGAGGAGCGAAAGCGUGGGGAGCGAACAGG
rnacentral:rRNA from 1 species